rnacentral:rRNA from 1 species
UACGGAGGGUGCAAGCGUUAUCCGGAAUCAUUGGGUUUAAAGGGUCCGCAGGCGGAUUUAUAAGUCAGUGGUGAAAGCCCGUCGCUCAACGACGGAACUGCCAUUGAUACUGUAAGUCUUGAAUUCGGUCGAAGUGGGCGGAAUAUGACAUGUAGCGGUGAAAUGCUUAGAUAUGUCAUAGAACACCGAUAGCGAAGGCAGCUCACUAGGCCUGGAUUGACGCUCAGGGACGAAAGCGUGGGGAGCAAACAGGG